AUGGGAAACAGGUUAAUAUUCCUGUACUUGGUGUUACUGCGAAGGGGGGACGGAGAAGGCUAUGUUGGCCGGGCGACGGUUGUCCCGGUUUAAGCGUGUAGGCUGGUUUUCCAGGCAAAUCCGGAAAAUCAAGGCUGAGGCGUGAUGACGAGGCACUACGGUGCUGAAGCAACAAAUGCCCUGCUUCCAGGAAAAGCCUCUAAGCAUCAGGUAACAUCAAAUCGUACCCCAAACCGACACAGGUGGUCAGGUAGAGAAUACCAAGGCGCUUGAGAGAACUCGGGUGAAGGAACUAGGCAAAAUGGUGCCGUAACUUCGGGAGAAGGCACGCUGAUAUGUAGGUGAAGUCCCUUGCGGAUGG
rnacentral:rRNA from 1 species